AGCACGGGUGCUUGCACCUGGUGGCGAGUGGCGAACGGGUGAGUAAUGCGUCGGAACGUACCGAGUAAUGGGGGAUAACGCAGCGAAAGUUGUGCUAAUACCGCAUACGCCCUGAGGGGGAAAGUGGGGGACCGCAAGGCCUCACGUUAUUCGAGCGGCCGACGUCUGAUUAGCUAGUUGGUGGGGUAAAGGCCUACCAAGGCGACGAUCAGUAGCGGGUCUGAGAGGAUGAUCCGCCACACUGGGACUGAGACACGGCCCAGACUCCUACGGGAGGCAGCAGUGGGGAAUUUUGGACAAUGGGGGCAACCCUGAUCCAGCCAUUCCGCGUGAGUGAAGAAGGCCUUCGGGUUGUAAAGCUCUUUCAGCUGGAACGAAACGGUACGCGCUAACAUCGUGUGCUAAUGACGGUACCGGCAGAAGAAGCACCGGCUAACUACGUGCCAGCAGCCGCGGUAAUACGUAGGGUGCGAGCGUUAAUCGGAAUUACUGGGCGUAAAGCGUGCGCAGGCGGAUUGUUAAGCAAGACGUGAAAUCCCCGGGCUUAACCUGGGAAUGGCGUUUUGAACUGGCAGUCUAGAGUGCGUCAGAGGGGGGUGGAAUUCCACGUGUAGCAGUGAAAUGCGU
rnacentral:rRNA from 1 species